rnacentral:rRNA from 1 species
UGCAGUCGAGCGAACCCUUCGGGGUUAGCGGCGGACGGGUGAGUAACGCGUGGGAACGUGCCCUUUGCUACGGAAUAGCCCCGGGAAACUGGGAGUAAUACCGUAUACGCCCUUAGGGGGAAAGAUUUAUCGGCAAGGGAUCGGCCCGCGUUGGAUUAGGUAGUUGGUGGGGUAAUGGCCUACCAAGCCGACGAUCCAUAGCUGGUUUGAGAGGAUGAUCAGCCACACUGGGACUGAGACACGGCCCAGACUCCUACGGGAGGCAGCAGUGGGGAAUCUUAGACAAUGGGGGCAACCCUGAUCUAGCCAUGCCGCGUGAGUGAUGAAGGCCCUAGGGUUGUAAAGCUCUUUCAGCUGGGAAGAUAAUGACGGUACCAGCAGAAGAAGCCCCGGCUAACUCCGUGCCAGCAGCCGCGGUAAUACGGAGGGGGCUAGCGUUGUUCGGAAUUACUGGGCGUAAAGCGCACGUA